GCGGAGGAGAAGUCCCGGGACCCCCCGACCCGCUCCCGAGUUCCAAAAUGACCUUUCCCCGCAUCGUUUCGGAGGUAACCGAGCUGCGUAAUUAUAUUUGCACUUCCAGAAGACUGCAUCAGAGUCCCCUUAUUGGUUUGAAAUUCCAUUAAAUAUAUUGCAAGAGCUCCUAGGUUAAGCUUGAUUUAAAUUUGCAUACAUUUUCAUAUAUUUAGCAGAAAUAAAAGAAGGCUUGCAGCUACCAGAAAGUCAUUAAGGCAUUAGUUUCUCUGAGAAGACAGAUCUGAAGAAAAUUCAAGAAAAUGAGAAAAUAGAUCUAAAUAAGGUGGAGUUGAAUACAAUGUGAUUAACUACAAGCAAUAUGUUGUGAAGAUGAUGGUAUUCAGACACAUACCCAAACAAUUUGAUUCAGAUAAAUUGGAUACAAGACUUUGACCAGCAUGAGAAGAACAGGUGGCUGAAGUGCUCCAAAGGGAAGGGUUUGAAGAUGGGAAUCACCUCCGGGACUCUCCGUACCCCUGAAGCUGCCGGGGGGGAGAGGAGCUCCAGCUCCAGGGAUACCCAAGGCACUGUGCAAGCAGGGGGCAUCCCAGACCUGUGGAGGAGCUCAGCAGGAGAAGAAUCAGUGGGGGAAAAUAGUCCUAAUGCUGUGUUGCUGCUGGUGGGUCAGGCAGUUUGAACAGAGGUCUGCGGUGCUCCGGCUCGUUGGGAACUUUUGUGCUCAGACCAGGAGGAUGCUACAGAUGGAGCUGAUCUGUGAAUUUCAAAUCUGUGCCUCCACCAGUGUUGACACGGUGCAAUGAUGCAGCCGAGCUCUCAGAUGUCUGGCUCGAAGAGUUGUGAAAUGAUCAAGCAGACAAACCCAACCAUUUCAGCCUUGUCAAUCUAGUUCUCAGUGGACAGAUGCCCUGGUGCUGGAAAAGCAGCAUGCCCUGCAACACCUCUUGGCAGUGUGGAAAAAGAGCCAGAGAUGUCCCAGACACGAAGUACGACCGGAUUCUCAGCUCAAAAAAUCAGGCUAAGAAUUUGCCAAGGGCAUCAACAGCAGUUUUCCCAGGCUUCAGCACAAGGAUUAUGUAGUCAAUCCACAAAUGACUCCAAUCUUUGAAGAAAAGGACAUGGUUAUCAGAGAGGCUUUGACGACAGCAAGGACUGGAGCACAAUCUGCCUUUUUCCAUCAGAGAUUCCCAUUCCCUCUCAUUAACAUACUCAGGACAUCAGCACAGCCAUCAGUCCCAGGGGAAUCACCUCAAACUUCUCAGGGAAUAUGCACAAGACCUGGCCCUGUGUUAUUUCAAACAGAUCAAACCAGAUGUGCCUUGUGAAAGGUUUGGAGAAAGGCUGGGGCACAGCAGCAUUAGGGGAGGGAUUCACAGGUUGUAGGGAAUUUUCAAAUCUAUUGCUAUAUGUUGGUAAUCUUUCUUAUUUCCCAGGGUUUUUCAAUCCCACUGAGGAUGCAGAGCUGCUCUGUGAUAUCUGCUGCUGUAAGUGAUUAUAUAAUUUAUGACCUAAUUUUAGACUUUUGCGUAACCGCGUUGAAACACUCGUGGCGGAUCCGGAUUUCUCUGCACGGAGCGUUCCAGCAUCAGACACCAGCUCAAACAUGACUCCUGUGAGCUGCCCAUCAGCAAGGAGUUAGAGGCAUUAAAGGCAAACAGCCCAACAGUAUUCAGACAGCAUUACAGGAUUAGACGGUGGGGUUUUUUUUCCCUGUAAAAAUCUGAUUUAGCAGCACUUCCCAAGCCGUGCGCGGCGGCCGCCAGGAAUCCCCAGGUACCACAGUCAGCACCCAGCAACUCCAAUUACUGACUUUCAGACCCCUCUGGGAUAAAUUCAUUGUAGGGAGGGCUGGAGGAGGUGGGGAAGCAGGUGAAGAAUGACUUUAAAGCCACUGCCAGCCCCUCGCCCUCCAGAAUUUCCCCUCAGCACCAGCCUGGCUGCUGGGCUGAUUUUUUGCUGCACAAGGUGUUGCCAGAUAACCCCUAAAUGAAUUAUUCUAAAGCUGUAGCCACAUUUUUUUGUGUGUCUUCUGUGUGUCCAGGGUAAUUCAGUGGUGCUGUAAAUAGUACUGUGAACUGCAGGUAUUUUGUCAAUUGAAACCACAUUGUUUGGACCAGUCUUUCAUCAAAUUUAAUCUACUGCCUAUUGCAUUAAUGCAUUUUGAGAGCACUUUAUUCUGGUGUCCCAUAGGGAAGUGGCUUGUGGUUGAGGAGGGUUUAGAAGCUUCCUUUGUGCCUGCAGUGCAGUUAUGAGGAAUUUUUCCUGGUUUUCUACCUUGCCCUGGGAUAUCCAACACGGAUGACAGAGCUGAGAUGCUGCAUCCUCAGAGCAGCACCUGGAGCUGUAGGAACCAUGUCCCUGCAGCCCAACACCUCCCUCUAACACAACAACUUAAUGCACAGGGUGAGGUGGGUGCCCACAUGAAAGAAAAAGCAUCCUUAGGAAAAGCUGACACUAUUUCUUGGAUUAAGAAGGAUUGGAGAGUGUCUCUGUUUGGCUUUAACUGAGCAGUUCCAGGAAAGCAGCAGCGACCGAAGUAUUUUCAGUAGCACAUAAUUCAAGAGCGAAAUCAUAAUUCCAAUUACCAUUUCAGGCACUCCUGGCCUUGGGAAACCUAGGCUAAUAUUUAUUAUUAUAUUAUUGACCUCUGAUUUCUUCAUCAUUUACAUUAGCAACUCUGAUAUUCUUAGUAACAUCCUUUAAAUCAUAUAAGCAGGUGUCAACAGUGCACGAUGAAGUCACAUCCUGCAGCUUUUUUAUUUACUUAGUCCAUUUUUUUCCUGGUAAAAUAACGGUGUGAGUUGCAUAAUCUCACCUCCAUGGGGCCUCUAGGGGGGUAUAUAAUCACAGAUUGCAUUUUCUAUAAUCUCUUAUUAUGAGUCAAUCCUGUCAGAGGCACAAACAGUUGUACAAAGUCAGUAUUUCACAACCAUCACUGCCUGACAUCAUCUUCCACAUAGCACAAGAAAAUAUUUACUUAGCUCUUUGACAUUAAUGGCCACAAAGCCUUUGAAACAAAAAAAUUAUGGAAAGCGAGGAACUGAAAUGGAAUAAUUUGAUUUAAUGAAUUUAGCCCAUUUUCCAUGUGCAGGAAUUAGAUUCAGAUGUUUUUUUAUAAUGUCUGGGAUGGCCAAGGACACCUCCAAUCUCUGUUCUUCAGUGAGGUGCCCAGGCACAAAUCAGAGUUGCCCAGAAAAGCUGGAAGCUGAUCCUUUUCUCCAUUGUUUUCUUUGCGUAAGUGACCAUUUCUCUGGGGGAAUCAAGGCACUGCAUUUAUUUUCCAGGUGCGGGUGAGGUGCCAAAAGCAGCCUGAGGCUUCUCAUUGCCUUCAGCAGAGUUGAUAAAAUUGUGUUUAUCCACAAAGAGACUACAAUUUUUUUUUUCCAGAUUGUUCUUGUGAUGUGUCAAAAAGUUUUAAUUCUCUGUUUGUCUCCUGUGCCCACUGCUCAUCUUCCUGCCUCAGUGCAGCUCCUGCUGUUCCCCUCCAGAGAGCACAGCCACGGGCUUUUCAGCAUCUCCUUGGGAAACAUCUGGAGCUGGGGAAAGUGGGACCCAUCGGUGCCACCCGGAGAGGGCUGUCCUUGGUCAUCUUCAUCUCUCAUCCAUCAUUUUUUUACUGAAAUUAAAUCCUUCUGAAUUUACAUUGCCUUAAAGGGUUUACCUGGCUCAGCAGGUGGCAGGGUUUCACACAGGUUUGGGAUCGUUUUGGCCACCUUUGGAAGGUUUGUGAGCCUUGCACAGGUUGUCAGGCAGGUGGGCUCUGCUCUGCUCUCUGGGCACGGAGUCUUAAAAACCCCCUCUUGAUUUCCACAUGUCAGGAGAGGGAAAAGGGUCAGAACAGCCCUAGAUCAUGUUUCUGAAGGCUGUAAAUGCAAUAAUCCUAAUCAUUAGCAGUUUCUGUAACAACACAGGUUACAGACACGGGACCAAACACCUGCAGGGAACCUCCUCAGGCGAAAUUCUCCUCGGCUUCAAUCAUGUUUUUCCGGAGAAGAGACCUCUGGCUGCGCUCAGGGCCAUCCGCCUGUUCCUGGCUGAAGAGGCUCUUCUAAUCUACUGCUAAGAGACUUAUUAGCAAUGUAAAAAGGAAUUUGAAGCAAGGAAAGUGUUCUUCCUAGCAGAAAUACGUUUGGUAAAAUUAGAUUUGCUGACAGAAGUAAUUGGGCCGACUCCUCAUGACUAUGGAUGCUGUUUGUUGCCCCUUAUCUUACCAAAGCAAAGGGCACCAAAUACUUCGAACUUUGUAAAUAAUUGUUUCCAAAGUGUUUUCGUUUUUUUUUUUUUCCCCUCUAUAAAUUCUUUAGAGAAAAGCUGGUUUGCUGGUUUCUAAUCCUUUCUCUUCCAAAGCUUUUGAAGCUCAGCCCCUUCCCACUCUAGAUAUCUUUUAUUUUCCCUUUUCGGAUUUUAAUAUUUGUUAGAUUACAAAAAUCACUUUUAAGGGGAAAUGCAGAGCUUUUGCUCAGAUUGGAAAAGUCAUUCCUAGAGCUUUAACAAAGUGGUGAAAGAGAGAAAAUUAUCAAAUAGAAGAGCUUUAUCCCAGACUCUGGCAGAUGUUGUUCUGUGGUGUGGAGAUGUGUGUCCAAAGCCUGAUCAGCGCCCAGAGCAGGGUCCUGUCCAUCGGUCUGGCUGUUUUUUCUCACUCCAGAUUCCUGCCUAGUGGAGGGAUUAGCCCUUUGCUGGUUCUUCAUUCCUUCUGGGCUGAACCAGAGCCAGGACUUGCUCUUCCCUACCCCACCAGUGCUCACUGUCUCCUCUGGUGCCAAGCAGAGGGGCACUGUUUGCUUGUAAACAGCAUUAUUUCUUAGUUUUAUUCCACUUUUGCACCCACAGCAACAAAUAUUAAUGCAGAAACAGGACACAAACUGUCCCAGAGUGUGUGCUAUUAAAGUAAGGUCAGAGCCUGCAGGAAAUCCACACUUAUUUGCAUAAAGCCAGGCAGACUCACAGAUGUGGGAAAACUGAAAUGCUGGAAAAGCAAGACGUGACUUUCUCCAUCAUCCUUGCAAGUUGAACAUGAUUUUUUUUCCAUUGUCUAUCUGCUAUGUAUCUAUUUCUUUACUCAUUUUGGCAAAAGACACAAAUAAUGAGAAGUAUCUGUCUGUAAUGGACAGUUACCCCCUGUGGGGUCUCACAGGUGACACGGGUGGGUGAGGUCUGGGCAGAGCUGCAAGACCAGAGAAAUAAAUGACAGCUACCUGUGCUCAUGUUGCCAUUGGAGCAUGGAUGGGGAUUAAAUCCUGAUCUCCAACCUCAGGCAGCAACAUAAAGCAGGGAGCAGAAAAGCUGAAUUCCCCUGCUGGAAUUCAAGGUAACUUCUGGAGUCGCAGGAGCUUCAGAGCAGAUCCCAAAGGAAGGAUCCUUGUUGAGCUGCCUUGUGUCAGUCUCAAACCCAGCACACAAAAUCCCAUGGGGUGUCUGGUCCAGGUCCAGCUGCUGUUGAGGAAUGUUGACGUGUUCAUGCCAUGGUGCCAUUCCCCAGCUGUUGUCCAAUGCCAACAGGGGGGAAAGGUAGUUCCUGGGAAGGGCAGCUGUGAUAUUUACUUAUGGAGUCUUCAAAUCAUAACAAACAUCUUUCUUGGUAGCAGGAGGCGCCACCAAGACUGAUCUUCUCCAAAGCCAGAGGUUUCAGGUCUUGGAUGCCACCAGCAGAUCUCCAGGUGCUUGGCUGAUGAUUUGUUCCCUGCCCCAGGUGAGGUGGGAAGGAAUUUAGAAUCACAGAAUGAUAGAAUCAUGAAGGUUGGAAAGGACCUUUAAGAUCAUCGAGUCCAACCAUCAACCAGUGCCACCCACAUGUUCACCACUAAACCUCGUCCCCAGGGGUCACAUCCACACAGUUUUUGAACACUUUCAGGGAUGGUGAUUCCACUACUGCCCUGGGCAGCCUGUGCCAGGCCUUGACAACCCUUUCUAUGAUGAAACUUCCCCUAAUGUACAAACUAAACCUCCCUUGGUCAACUUGAGGCCAUUUCAUCUCAUCCUGUCACUUGUUAUCGGGGAGAAGGGACCGACCCCCAGCUAAAUACACCCUCCUGUCAGGGAGUUGCAGAGAGUGAGAAGCCCCCCCACCGAGCCUCCUUUUCUGCAGGCUGAGCCCCUCCAGCUCCCUCAGCUGCUCCUGGUGCUCCAGCUCCUUCCCCAGCUCCAUUCCCUUCCCUGGGUACAUUCCAACCCCUCAGAUUCAUCCUUGUCAUGAGGAGCCCAACACCGAACGCAGGAUUUGAGGCGCGGCUGGGAUUUUUUUCCCCUUAAAAAAAAACCCCUAAAUAAAUCCAUGAUUUUUUUUUUACGAAGGCACCUUCCAGCAGAGCCCAAAUGGGAAUGUUUGUGUUCCGUACCAUCCGUCAACGCCGCGGGAGCGGCUCCUCCAGCUCCUCUUUGGUGGCCAGAAGGAGCUGUCAGGGAGCCGCUCGGCCGCGGCGCCGGGCGGGGUGGGAGCCGUGCUGGCACGGAUCCCUCUGCACAGGGGAUUUCUGCUCUGACAAUUUUUGGCUCCUUUAGGUUACUUCGGAGCUGCACGGAAUUUUUAAUGCUCUGCACUCUCGCAGGGGCUGACAGCGAACUUAAAUACAGAUUGCAAAGAUAGAUCAUCUCCCAGCACCACUUUGUUUGCUGCUGCUCUAAAAUCAUUCUACUUGUUCCUACAGCUCCUAUAAAGCCAGAAGAGCUCUCUAUAUUUGCUUCCCGGAUGCCUUUUUCUCCUCUGCUCGCGACUAUAAAAGCAGCUUUUCAUGCUCCAAAUCGGAGAUAAAUUGAAAUCGCUGCCGAAGAAAUAAAACACGAGGCUAAUCAAAUUGUGGCACAGGAAACAGCCUUCAGCCAGUGCAUUUUUUUGAGAGCUAUUUUUAGCCUAUAUUUUUAUUUUGUCACUCCAUAUGGGAAGUCAAACCCAUAUGGUUUGGGAGAAUGGAAGGUUGUGCUUUUGUAGACAUCUUGCAAACCAUCCUGGCCCAGCCUUGUCCUUAAAGAGGGGCUUAAAUCCAAUUGUCUGCCGUGGGACUGGAGCACUUAAAUGCUCAGGCCCUGCCUGAGGUUGUAACAGAACGAUUCCCUCCUGAGGUGUAAAACUGUUCUACAUUCGUUAAACCAGUCUCCAGUUAACUUGGCUCUUCUUAAUUAGGGUUUUUCUCAUCUGUACACUUUCUUUUUUUCCUUUUCCUUUUUAAUUUCUCCAUCAUUCCAAUGCCCUGAUGGAUGGAGUUGGUCCAGUCCCAGCCAGGAUGCAAAGCUGAGCAUCCACAGCCAUCACUCUCCUGCUCUUUGGAGUAGGUGUUUGUGCCCUCCAAAUGCCCAAAUUAAUGUGAUUUCAGGGAAUAUGACUUUUUUCUGCCCACAACACCAUGGCACCUUCUGAGUAUGUUGAUGAAUAAAUACUUGGCUAGAAAAUGUCCUGUCUUUCUGAUAAACUAAAUGUCUAAAAUUAGAAACGUGUCCCCAGUGUUCAUCCACCAGAAUAUCCACUUUACUUGUGUUAUAGGUUGUUCAUGAUACUGAAUCAAAAAUUAUGUGUUUUCUAAGGAAUUUUGUGGGAUGGUCGAAAGCACUGACAGAAAGUUUUUAACCUGGUGAAUUCCAGAGGAUCGUUUUACGAAAUUUUUAAUUGUAAUCUUGGGAUUUCUUCCCUCUGUAGUUUCUCAGAAGGUGGAAUUAAAAACAAAAAUGACAUAACAAAAUGCAGCUGGAUGCUUUUAUAGGUAAAGCAAUGAACAGAGGCUCUGAAAUGUGGGUGAUAGGGCUUAGUGGACAUUCAGCUGAAAGUUGGAUUUGAUGAUCUUGGAGAUCUUUCCAAACUUAAUGAUUCUGUGAUUUUAUGGUGUGAAUUACAGAGGCUCAGGGGAGCAAACACCUCGUGGAACUGCUCUGACUGAAGGAAAAGUAAUUUCCUGUAUUACUUUUGAUUUCAGAGUUGUAUUUAACCUCAAUGUGGAAGGAGAAUAGAAAAAAGAGUAGGGUUUUGGCUGGUAAUAUUUUUAUGCCUUUUUUUUUCCCCUUAGGAAACAAUUCUCCCCCUUUUUGAGGGGAUAAAGUGCAAUGGGAAUAGGACUGUUCAGUGGAGAAUUCCGUGUGGCAGAAGGAUGAGCAGCAUGGAGAUUUCUGAAAUGGUUUGGACGUCACUUCCACCAAGCAGAAGAAAUAUUAUACUAAAAUUGUUCAUCAAAACUGAGACCUCAUAUGGAUUAUUUACUGGAAAAUCCAGAAAACAACCACUGAGUUUUUUCCCAGAGCAGAGAUCUUGUGUUAGAGGAGACAAUGUUAAAAUAACCAAGCCCCAGAAAGGACUAAAAGGAAAAAUCUGAGAUUAGAGCAGAGAGAAAUUAUCAGAAUUAGUAAAAGUGAUUUGAUGAAGCCUUGUUUGUGUUCAAAAUCUGUGCUUGUUUUGAAAUCCAAAGAACUACUGUUAGUUACAUUAUUGGCUCAGAGGAGCUUUAUAGCCAGGAAACCCCCAUCACCUGUAUCCCACUUUCAAAAAUACACUUUAUACCAUUCUGAAAUCCCAAAAGACAGUGAAAACCCCUGGAUUUGUGAUGCUUGGGAUUAUUGGAAUUAAUACAUGUAGUUGGGCUUUCCAGGGGAUGUUAUUCUGGAAUAUUUGAAAAACAGAAUUUCUGGCCCAGGUGUUUGGGGAGAGGGUGUGAUGUGGGCACAGGAGCACUGUGAGAUGGACUUGUGAUGUCACCGUGAUUCCUGGACAUCCCUUGGCACCCAAGUGACUUCAGAAGGGCUGGAAUUUCAUCCCAGCUCAGGAGUAGCUGAUGGAGGUGAGGUGGAGCAGCUUCAAGUCAGUGAUGUAGAACUGAAAAAAUUCUUUGUCAUAUAACUGAUCUCAUCAGCAGCACAGGGCACCCAAAUGUCACUUUGGAUUUUCUCCUGAGUUUCCAUUUACGUCACUAAUAUAUUGAUAAUAUGUUAAGGUAUUAUCCUCAAAAAAAGGAAAGAAAUAAUUUCUUUAUGAUAUGGGCAAUUUGUAGAAGACAUUCGUGUAAUUUUGCAUUCUAAAUGUGAUUUAUAUUUAUAAAUAAA